AAGGUCAGACACUGACUGAGUCUGAGUCAGUCGUCCUCAAACCUGGGAAAGAACAUAAACUGAGCUGUACUUUCUCUGGGAUUGAAGUUGGUGAUGCAGUUAUUUCAUGGAUAAGACAGGCUGAAGGGAAAGGGCUCAAGUGAAUCUCACAUAUUUCUGCUCCAAAUGGCAGAAGCAAAUAUUGCUCUUUACCAUCUCCAAAGACAAGUGUAAACAGUAAAAUGCAGGUGUAUCUGGAUUUGGAUAUGGAUUUGAAUAAAAAUUUGGAUUGACUAAAAAUAUAUCAAUUAUUAAUUGGUAUUUGGUAACCAGCUCCUCUGAUCAAGAAAAUAAGAAAUAAAAAAUAAAAAAAUAGCCUGAAAGUCAGAGAGGCAGACAUGGUUACAGAGGUUAAUAAGGGCACAGAAAAUGUAAAUGUACCUUUAGAGGGCAGUCUAUGCAAACCAACUUCUCCUAGUUCCCUUUAAAAGAAAAGCCCCAGUCUGUUUAUCUCCAUACAUCCGUUUUGACUGUUGCAGCAAGUUCCUCCUUUCAUAACAUGAACAUGAAUAUUUGGCAUUUCAUCUGUAUGAUGAUUGUAUCUCAAAAAGGUAUCAGUGGUGAUGAAAUCCGAUUAGAUCAGUCUCCUGCUGUGAUAAAGAGACCUGGAGAAAGAGUGAAGACCUCCUGUAAAAUAUCUGGUUUUACGAUGACAGACUACUACAUGCACUGGAUCAGGGAGAGGCCAGGGAAAGCUCUGGAGUGGAUUGGGAGAGUAAACACUGGCUCUGGUAGUGUUACUUAUGCAGAUACAAUGGAAAACCACUUUACUUUGAGUGAGGAUGUGUCUCAAAGUACACAGUAUCUUGAAGCCAAGAGUCUGAGAGAAGAGGACACUGCUGUUUAUUACUGUGCUCGACAGACACAGUGACUCCAUCUGUUGAAGCAGCUUUACAAUAACUGAGAACUAAUGAGAAAAGACCAUCCAUUGGACUAUGAAUCAUAUGCUUGCUCUCGUUAUCAUGAUUAUGAAGUAAUAUAUACACACACUGAUCAGG